GAUGAACGCUGGCGGCGUGCUUAACACAUGCAAGUCGAACGGGAAACAUUUUAUUGAAGCUUCGGCAGAUUUAGCUUGUUUCCAGUGGCGGACGGGUGAGUAACGCGUGGGUAACCUGCCUCACACUGGGGGAUAACAGUCAGAAAUGACUGCUAAUACCGCAUAAGACCACAGGGUCGCAUGACCCAGUGGUAAAAACUCCGGUGGUAUGAGAUGGACCCGCGUCUGAUUAGCUAGUUGGUGGGGUAACGGCUCACCAAGGCGACGAUCAGUAGCCGACCUGAGAGGGUGACCGGCCACAUUGGGACUGAGACACGGCCCAG
rnacentral:rRNA from 1 species